GACGAACGCUGGCGGCGUGCCUAAUACAUGCAAGUAGAACGCUGAAGGAGGAGCUUGCUCUUCUGGAUGAGUUGCGAACGGGUGAGUAACGCGUAGGUAACCUGCCUGGUAGCGGGGGAUAAACUAUUGGAAACGAUAGCUAAUACCGCAUAACAUUGACUAUUGCAUGAUAGUCAAUUGAAAGGUGCAAUUGCACCACUACCAGAUGGACCUGCGUUGUAUUAGCUAGUUGGUGGGGUAACGGCUCACCAAGGCGACGAUACAUAGCCGACCUGAGAGGGUGAUCGGCCACACUGGGACUGAGACACGGCCCAGACUCCUACGGGAGGCAGCAGUAGGGAAUCUUCGGCAAUGGACGGAAGUCUGACCGAGCAACGCCGCGUGAGUGAAGAAGGUUUUCGGAUCGUAAAGCUCUGUUGUAAGAGAAGAACGAGUGUGAGAGUGGAAAGUUCACACUGUGACGUAUCUA
rnacentral:rRNA from 1 species